GCGGUGGUAGUAUAGCCUGGUAGUUACAUUGGCUUGCCAAGCCAAUAGCGCGGGUUCAAAUCCCGCCCACCGCA
rnacentral:tRNA from 1 species